AUUGAACGCUGGCGGAAUGCUUUACACAUGCAAGUCGAACGGCAGCACGGACUUCGGUCUGGUGGCGAGUGGCGAACGGGUGAGUAAUGUAUCGGAACGUGCCCAGUCGUGGGGGAUAACGUAGUGAAAAUUACGCUAAUACCGCAUACGAUCUAUGGAUGGAAGCGGGGGAUCGCAAGACCUCGCGCGAUUGGAGCGGCCGAUAUCAGAUUAGGUAGUUGGUGGGGUAAAGGCCCACCAAGCAAACGAUCUGUAGCUGGUCUGCGAGGACGACCAGCCACACUGGAACUGAGCCACGGUCCAGCCUCCUACGGGAGGCAGCAGUGGGGAAUUUUGGACAAUGGGCGAAAGCCUGAUCCAGCCAUUCCGCGUGCAGGAUGAAGGCCCUCGGGUUGUAAACUGCUUUUGUACAGAACGAAAAGGUUUCUACUAAUACUAGGAGCUCAUGACGGUACUGUAAGAAUAAGCACCGGCUAACUACGUGCCAGCCGCCGCCGUAA
rnacentral:rRNA from 1 species